AUUGAACGCUGGCGGCAGGCCUAACACAUGCAAGUCGAGCGGAUGAGUGGAGCUUGCUCCAUGAUUCAGCGGCGGACGGGUGAGUAAUGCCUAGGAAUCUGCCUGGUAGUGGGGGACGACGUUUCGAAAGGAACGCUAAUACCGCAUACGUCCUACGGGAGAAAGCAGGGGACCUUCGGGCCUUGCGCUAUCAGAUGAGCCUAGGUCGGAUUAGCUAGUAGGUGAGGUAAUGGCUCACCUAGGCGACGAUCCGUAACUGGUCUGAGAGGAUGAUCAGUCACACUGGAACUGAGACACGGUCCAGACUCCUACGGGAGGCAGCAGUGGGGAAUAUUGGACAAUGGGCGAAAGCCUGAUCCAGCCAUGCCGCGUGUGUGAAGAAGGUCUUCGGAUUGUAAAGCACUUUAAGGUGGGAGGAAGGGCAGUAAGUUAAUACCUUGCUGUUUUGACGUUACCAACAGAAUAAGCACCGGCUAACUACGUGCCAGCCGCCGCAGUAACAC
rnacentral:rRNA from 1 species